AGAGUUUGAUCCUGGCUCAGGAUGAACGCUGGCGGCGUGCCUAAUACAUGCAAGUCGAGCGAACGGACGAGAAGCUUGCUUCUCUGAUGUUAGCGGCGGACGGGUGAGUAACACGUGGAUAACCUACCUAUAAGACUGGGAUAACUUCGGGAAACCGGAGCUAAUACCGGAUAAUAUUUUGAACCGCAUGGUUCAAAAGUGAAAGACGGUCUUGCUGUCACUUAUAGAUGGAUCCGCGCUGCAUUAGCUAGUUGGUAAGGUAACGGCUUACCAAGGCAACGAUGCAUAGCCGACCUGAGAGGGUGAUCGGCCACACUGGAACUGAGACACGGUCCAGACUCCUACGGGAGGCAGCAGUAGGGAAUCUUCCGCAAUGGGCGAAAGCCUGACGGAGCAACGCCGCGUGAGUGAUGAAGGUCUUCGGAUCGUAAAACUCUGUUAUUAGGGAAGAACAUAUGUGUAAGUAACUGUGCACAUCUUGACGGUACCUAAUCAGAAAGCCACGGCUAACUACGUGCCAGCAGCCGCGGUAAUACGUAGGUGGCAAGCGUUAUCCGGAAUUAUUGGGCGUAAAGCGCGCGUAGGCGGUUUUUUAAGUCUGAUGUGAAAGCCCACGGCUCAACCGUGGAGGGUCAUUGGAAACUGGAAAACUUGAGUGCAGAAGAGGAAAGUGGAAUUCCAUGUGUAGCGGUGAAAUGCGCAGAGAUAUGGAGGAACACCAGUGGCGAAGGCGACUUUCUGGUCUGUAACUGACGCUGAUGUGCGAAAGCGUGGGGAUCAAACAGGAUUAGAUACCCUGGUAGUCCACGCCGUAAACGAUGAGUGCUAGGUGUUAGGCCCUUUCCGGGGCUUAGUGCCGCAGCUAACGCAUUAAGCACUCCGCCUGGGGAGUACGACCGCAAGGUUGAAACUCAAAGGAAUUGACGGGGGCCCG
rnacentral:rRNA from 1 species